UGAGACCUCAGGUCAGGCGGGGCUACCCGCUGAAUUUAAGCAUAUCAAUAAGCGGAGGA
rnacentral:rRNA from 2 species